rnacentral:rRNA from 1 species
AACGAACGCUGGCGGCAGGCUUAACACAUGCAAGUCGAGCGCCCCGCAAGGGGAGCGGCAGACGGGUGAGUAACGCGUGGGAAUCUACCCAUCUCUACGGAAUAACGCAUGGAAACGUGUGCUAAUACCGUAUACGUCCUUCGGGGGAAAGAUUUAUCGGAGAUAGAUGAGCCCGCGUUGGAUUAGCUAGUUGGUGGGGUAAAGGCCUACCAAGGCGACGAUCCAUAGCCGGUCUGAGAGGAUGAUCAGCCACACUGGGACUGAGACACGGCCCAGACUCCUACGGGAGGCAGCAGUGGGGAAUAUUGGACAAUGGGCGCAAGCCUGAUCCAGCCAUGCCGCGUGAGUGAUGAAGGCCCUAGGGUUGUAAAGCUCUUUCACCGGUGAAGAUAAUGACGGUAACCGGAGAAGAAGCCCCGGCUAACUUCGUGCCAGCCGCCGCAGUAAGAC